rnacentral:tRNA from 1 species
GCCUGAUUAUCUCAGCUGGUUAGAGCGUCGUACUAAUAUCUUCCUGAGAUAGCAAGUAAUGCGAAGGUCAACAGUUCAAUCCUGUUAUUGGGCA